rnacentral:lncRNA from 1 species
GGGCAGGCACCCUGAAAGGGCACCCCGCAAGCUUGCCCAGGCCCGCUCUUCUCCGAAGUCCUAUAGUUCCACUGGGCAGCAGAAGGAGGCGGACAGCCUACUCCUGCCCCUCGGCCGGACGACCCGCGGCUGCCGCGCCCAGCACCUCUGCACCUGCCUGGCUGAGAAAGACGGCCGCUCUUUGGGAGAAGCUGGUGUCUGGCUUGCCCUGUAGCCAGUCCCCAAAGGCUCCGCGAGCUCGCUGGGGACCUGGCAGCGCCCUGCGCGCUGCGCGGGAGGCAGGUCCCCUGGAGCGCAGAGAAAGAACCCUCAGCUCUGUCGCUCCGCACCGAGGUAAUCAGUCUCCCAGCGAAAGCCGAGAAGCGGC